GACGAAUUCUGGCGGCGUGCUUAACACCUGCAACUCGAACGGUAAGGCCCUUCGGGGUCCACGAGUGGGGAACGGGUGAGUAACCAGUGGGUGAUCUGCCCUGCAGUUCAGCAUAAUCCUGGGAAACUGGGCGUAUAACGGAUAGGACCACUGCCUGCAUGGGUGGUGGUGGUAAGAUUUUGCGGUGUGGGAUGGGCCCGAUGGCUAUCAGGUUGUUGGUGGGGUGAUGGCCUACCAAGGCGACGACGGGUAGGCGGUCUGAGAGGGUGACCGGCCACACUGGGACUGAGAUACGGCCCAGACUCCUACGGGAGGCAGCAGUGGGGAAUAUUGCACAAUGGGCGCAAGCCUGAUGCAGCGACGCCGCGUGAGGGAUGAAGGUCUUCGGAUUGUAAACCUCUUUCAGUAGGGACGAGGCGAAAGUGACGGUACCUAAAGAAGAAGCACCGGCUAACUACGUGCCAGCAGCCGCCGUAA
rnacentral:rRNA from 1 species